rnacentral:rRNA from 1 species
GUGUCAGCAGCCGCGGUAAUACGUAGGUGGCAAGCGUUGUCCGGAUUUACUGGGCGUAAAGCGCGCGCAGGUGGAUGGAUCAGUCCGGGGUGAAACCUCACGGCUCAACUGUGAGUGGUCCCCGGAUACUAUCCGUCUUGAGGCGCCUAGAGGAGAGCGGAAUUCCCGGUGUAGUGGUGGAAUGCGUAGAUAUCGGGAAGAACACCAGUGGCGAAAGCGGCUCUCUGGGGGCGAUCUGACACUGAGGCGCGAAAGCGUGGGGAGCGAACCGGAUUAGAUACCCCUGUAGUCC